rnacentral:rRNA from 1 species
UGGGGAAUAUUGCACAAUGGGGGAAACCCUGAUGCAGCAACGCCGCGUGAGCGAAGAAGGCCUUUGGGUCGUAAAGCUCUGUCCUUGGGGAAGAAAAAAUGACGGUACCCAAGGAGGAAGCCCCGGCUAACUACGUGCCAGCAGCCGCGGUAAUACGUAGGGGGCAAGCGUUAUCCGGAAUUAUUGGGCGUAAAGAGUAUGUAGGUGGUUUCUUAAGCGCAGGGUAUAAGGCAAUGGCUUAACCAUUGUUCGCCCCGUGAACUGAGAGACUUGAGUGCUGGAGAGGAAAGCGGAAUUCCUAGUGUAGCGGUGAAAUGCGUAGAUAUUAGGAGGAACACCAGUGGCGAAGGCGGCUUUCUGGACAGUAACUGACACUGAGAUACGAAAGCGUGGGGAGCAAACAGG